rnacentral:rRNA from 1 species
UGCAGUCGAGGGGUAUAUGUCUUCGGAUAUAGAGACCGGCGCACGGGUGCGUAACGCGUAUGCAAUCUGCCUUUCACAGAGGGAUAGCCCAGAGAAAUUUGGAUUAAUACCUCAUAGUAUAAUCAAGCCGCAUGGUUUAAUUAUUAAAGUCACAACGGUGAAAGAUGAGCAUGCGUCCCAUUAGCUAGUUGGUAAGGUAACGGCUUACCAAGGCAACGAUGGGUAGGGGUCCUGAGAGGGAGAUCCCCCACACUGGUACUGAGACACGGACCAGACUCCUACGGGAGGCAGCAGUGAGGAAUAUUGGACAAUGGGCGCAAGCCUGAUCCAGCCAUGCCGCGUGCAGGAUGACGGUCCUAUGGAUUGUAAACUGCUUUUGUACGAGAAGAAACAUCCCGACGUGUCGGGACUUGACGGUAUCGUAAGAAUAAGGAUCGGCUAACUCCGUGCCAGCAGCCGCGGUAAUACGGAGGAUCCAAGCGUUAUCCGGAAUCAUUGGGUUUAAAGGGUCCGUAGGCGGUUUAGUAAGUCAGUGGUGAAAGCCCAUCGCUCAACGGUGGAACGGCCAUUGAUACUGCUGAACUUGAAUUAUUAGGAAGUAACUAGAAUAUGUAGUGUAGCGGUGAAAUGCUUAGAUAUUACAUGGAAUACCAAUUGCGAAGGCAGGUUACUACUAAUGGAUUGACGCUGAUGGACGAAAGCGUGGGGAGCGAACAGGAUUAGAUACCCUGGUAGUCCACGCCGUAAACGAUGGAUACUAGCUGUUGGGGGCAACUUCAGUGGCUAAGCGAAAGUGAUAAGUAUCCC